rnacentral:rRNA from 1 species
UGCCUACGGGGGGCUGCAGUGGGGAAUUUUGGACAAUGGGCGCAAGCCUGAUCCAGCAAUGCCGCGUGCAGGAAGAAGGCCUUCGGGUUGUAAACUGCUUUUGUCAGGGAAGAAAUCUUCUGGGCUAAUACCCCGGGAGGAUGACGGUACCUGAAGAAUAAGCACCGGCUAACUACGUGCCAGCAGCCGCGGUAAUACGUAGGGUGCGAGCGUUAAUCGGAAUUACUGGGCGUAAAGCGUGCGCAGGCGGGUAUGUAAGACAGAUGUGAAAUCCCCGGGCUCAACCUGGGAACUGCAUUUGUGACUGCAUGACGGGAGUGCGGCAGAGGGGGAUGGAAUUCCGCGUGUAGCAGUGAAAUGCGUAGAUAUGCGGAGGAACACCGAUGGCGAAGGCAAUCCCCUGGGCCUGCACUGACGCUCAUGCACGAAAGCGUGGGGAGCAAACAGGAUUAGAUACCCUAGUAGUCCA